GAGUUUGAUCUUGGCUCAGGACGAACGCUGGCGGCGUGCCUAAUACAUGCAAGUCGAGCGGAAUGAUGAAGAAGCUUGCUUCUUCUGAUUUUAGCGGCGGACGGGUGAGUAACACGUGGGCAACCUACCUUGUAGAUUGGGAUAACUCCGGGAAACCGGGGCUAAUACCGAAUAAUCCAUUUUGCUUCAUGGCAAGAUGUUGAAAGGCGGCUUCGGCUGUCACUACGAGAUGGGCCCGCGGCGUAUUAGCUAGUUGGUAGGGUAAUGGCCUACCAAGGCGACGAUACGUAGCCGACCUGAGAGGGUGAUCGGCCACACUGGGACUGAGACACGGCCCAGACUCCUACGGGAGGCAGCAGUAGGGAAUCUUCCACGAUGGACGAAAGUCUGAUGGAGCAACGCCGCGUGAGUGAAGAAGGUUUUCGGAUCGUAAAACUCUGUUGUAAGGGAAGAACACGUACGAGAGUAACUGCUCGUACCUUGACGGUACCUUAUUAGAAAGCCACGGCUAACUACGUGCCAGCAGCCGCAGUAACG
rnacentral:rRNA from 1 species